rnacentral:tRNA from 1 species
GUCGGCGUAGCUCAGUUGGUUAGAGCGAGCGUCUCAUACGCGCUAGGUCGGAGGUUCGAAUCCUCCCGUCGACA